CUUCGGCAUCGCCUCUUUGUUAGUUUCGACUUCGCUCGCGCCGGUCGCCAACGAGACACGGAGAGAGCAACAAAAAUGGUGAAGAUCUUCAUAGGGAACCUCACUCAGGAAACUGAGAAGGAUGAGAUCGAGGCCCUGUUCACGCAGUACGGCACCGUGCUGGAGUGUGCCAAGUACAAGAACUACGCCUUCGUGCACAUGGACGACCGCAAGUCCGCCACCAGGGCCAUCCGCGAGCUCCACCUGCACAACCUGAACGGCCGGCCCAUCAACGUGGAGCCCAGCCGGGGCAAGAACCAGGGCCCCGUGAAGCUCCACGUGGCCAGCGUGGAGAAGGGCUUCGAGAAGGAGCUCCGGGACAUGUUCGAGGAGUACGGCACCGUCACCGAGUGCUCCAUCGUCAAGAACUUCGCCUUCGUGCACAUGCCCAACUCGGACGAGGCCAUGGACGCCCUGCAGGGCCUGGACAACACGGAGUUCCAAGGGAAGCGCAUACACGUUCAAAUAUCAAAAAGCAGACCCAGAGGGGCGCCUCAGGAGGAGGAGGGGUACCCGCCCCCGCCAGGCAGGGGGGACUAUUACCCUCCCCGCUAUCCGAUGGAGAGGCCCGAGCCUCCGUACAGAGGCCGCAUGUCCGCGUACCCUCCUCCCCCGCCGCCCCCUCCGCCGCCGAGACGAGCGGCGUACCCCGACCACGGCUACGGCGAGCGUGAUCCCUACGGGGUGGUCGAUUACUAUGAGAAAUACCGCGCCCGCCCGUACGGCGCGGCGGGCUACGACGACCGGCGCCCCGCCGCCAUCCCUCCUCCUCCGCCGCCGCCGCCUCCUCCCCCGGCGCUGGUUAGGGAGCGCCUCGGGAUGGGCUCGCUCGACCCGUACGAGCGGCGCCCGCUCCAAGCGCCGCAGGCGUACAUGGGCCGGGACCGAAGCCCCAUCAGGAGAGCCCCGCCGCCGCCCGCCCCGGCCGCCGGCAACGGCUACUCCUACGAGCGCUCUCGGCUCUCCCCGAUGUCCAGGGCGCCGAUGUACGCGGCCCCGCCCCGGCCCCGGGACGCGUUUUCCGACAGGGUGCUCCCGCCGCCGCCGCCGCCGCCUCGCUACGCAGGCUAUUAGUCUCCUCCGAGAAAUAUAACGCAAAGGUUGUUAGACUCUAAGCAGGAGACGCCAGCUCAUGGUAAGUCGUCCUCAGGAGAAGCCCAGCGUCCCUGGAGACAAAGAGGUAGAUAUUGCACAACUAUUCCCGUCCUAUCAUCACUAACAAUGAAUAAUAUCCUCCUUGAGUUUAUGUUUCACAUUUAAGUCCAAAGAAAAGCCAUAAAAAUAUUUUUUUACAUACAUUUUUUUUUUCCAGUUUUCCCCAUUAAUGCAUUUUCUAAUGAUCUUUUGUCAAAUUUUUUAUCGCUCGACUCAAAAAUAUUCAAAAAAAUUUAAAAAAUAUGCAGGGAGUCGUUGACGUCAUUGUCUUUAACAGGCUUGGUCCCUCUGGACGUUACAGCUGGGAAAGACGUGAGCAAACGGUCUGAUAGCAAAAAGGAGGCUUCUGGACCUGCAGCUAACGGCUCCAGAAUAGCGGAGCUGCCUCCUCGGACGUCUCCUCCUAAAAAAAAAAAGCCAAACUACGGGAUCUGUGAUCUCGUGUUUGGAAACAAAACCGAGAUUGUGGAGCAACGGUUUGUUGCAACGUUGCGCAACAAUAAAAAAAAAUAAAAACAGGAGGUGGAAGAAGCGUGCGUGAGGAAAUGUCUGAGGAGACUCGUCAGUCGUGACCUGGCUAAUGUUUAGCCUCCAGGGUUCACUGUGUGUUUACUGAGGCUUGAUGUCACUGUCCUCAUAAACUCUUCUCUCUGUGUCUCAUCGUCUCUUAUCAGAAUAUUAUCUCAACCGUCUUGACUUUAAGUCGAGACGAGAUCUGUACACGGGUCAGAUAACAAAGACGAUCAAGGACGAACGAAGGAAGGUUGUGAUCACAUGGGAGAUAAAUCCGGGCUGUAAAAUAAUUUUAUACAGUUAAAGUCCUGUAAUAUUUAUUCAUGUGAUGUUAUAUGUUACUAAUACAUUGUGCUUUAUUGUUAUUUGUCUUUGAUGUCUUUAAAUAAACUGUUAGCGUUUGGAAA